rnacentral:lncRNA from 1 species
AUUGGCUACAGAGUGUACCAAUAGGAAGCUCCUAUGCUGAAACAAUGGCAGAGAGAAGUUGUGUGAUGUCAACGCUAUUUUUGGUGCUACCCGCCUAGAUUUCUAUUUUCGUCUUCUUCAGGGGCUGGACUUAGCAAGUAGCUUGCGACAACUCUUUCUUCCUCACUCUCUUGUACUACUGACGAAUCUCAUCCUUUGACCCUGGUCCCGUUCCCUGUAAGUCCUUUCACAAAUAGCCUAGGCUUCACAGGACGAAUCAUAUCAUUGCCUUUUUUUGUUGUUUUUGGAGGAGUAGCCAGUUUUAGAAUGUGGAGUUAUUUUGUGACUUAUUCUUACAAGAUGCAAUCACGGCGUCGGGACCUACCCUAGACAAAGACCAACGGGACAGCAUUUUUUCAAGAGUGGCAGAGCCCUCGGUGUCGG